GAUUAAUAUGAACUGGGUUUGGACGUAACUUCAGCUUUAGGACCCAGGAGGUCGCAUAUCUAGGAUGCAUUCGUCGAUUCGCAUGCUGCGAUUGGUGGUCCAGAUGCAACUCAUUUUGAGUGACAGAAAAACUGACCAAUCAUACUGUUCCUCUGAAUGGGUGGGUUCUCUUAUCACUAACUCUCAUAGAUAUGUAUCAUGUAUGUAUCUAUUAUGACAAAUUCUGCUCGCUCUCUCGCUUGGUUCGUGUUAUAAAAAUAAAUGUGACUUUACUGCGGUCUUUUUCGGUUUAUUUAGUUUUGUGUUAAUUAUAUCCACAAAGUAUUCGAAUAAAUUGGUAAUGUAAAACUAUUCUUCGCUGUAAAUUAAUUGUGUGCUCAAUUGCGACGCCCUGUGUUGAAUUUUCCCGCGAGUACAGUAUCAUUACUGAGGGGAAAUAUAACAUUAUUCAUUUAAUUCCACAAAAGGCCUGUAACGUACUGCAGCUUCCUGCAGGCAACGUGAAACAUUGCUGAGGGAGAACUUUAUUCACAACAAAAGGAUAAAGAUGAAGAGGCGGGCCUUGAGCAGCUUGUGAUGGCUGUAAUUGUAAAGAAUGGAUCUUCUAGGAGUGGAAGCCCAAAGGAUGCUGGAAUUGUUAUUGAGGCCUUAAAGGUGUUCACAGGGCAUGCUUUAUCCUUGGAUCUAUGCAUUGAAUCUCCAGUAUCCCAGGCAUCUUUUCAGGUGUUUCAGAAACUUUUCUUGGAGCUGGAUUCUUCAAAGUUUAUGAACUGAUUACAGUACAGUAAGUCUAAACUGCUGUCUGAUUUUCUGGGUGUGAAUCAAUGUAACAGAACACAAACAUGGAACCUUUCGUCGGGAAAUGUGGACGGUUUUCUUUAAAGACUGGAAAAUACUUUUUGAAGUUUACACUGUUACAAAUACAUCAUUAAAAUGAGAUGCUUUCCUGUUCUUUUGACUGCAAUAAAAUAAGAAUUGAUUCAUCUUUGUCUGUCAUUCUGAAAUCAGAUAUAAUACUCAUUACUAAUAAAAAUAUUAAUGGAUGAUGUUAAAUUAAAAUAGUAUAAUUGAAUAGUAUUUAUUGUAUAGUGCUAGGUCUUUGUCCUGUAUACCCAAUAUUUU